GGGAGCAGGGCUGCCAACAGGACGACAGCCCCAUGGAGACUCCCAUGGAUAUGGAGGGGAUGGCGGAGGAGUGCUGGCCACCCUGGAGGAGGAGCAUUAGCCCCCACCCGGAAAAGGAGGCAGGGUCCCACGA